CGGGGGGAGCAAGCGUUGUUCGGAUUUACUGGGCGUAAAGGGCGCGUAGGCGGUCAGCACAAGUCAGUUGUGAAAUCUCCGAGCUUAACUCGGAAAGGUCAACUGAUACUGUGCGACUAGAGUGCAGAAGGGGCAACUGGAAUUCUCGGUGUAGCGGUGAAAUGCGUAGAUAUCGAGAGGAACACCUGCGGCGAAGGCGGGUUGCUGGGCUGACACUGACGCUGAGGCGCGAAAGCUAGGGGAGCGAACGGGAUUAGAUACCCCGGUAGUCCUAGCCUUAAACGAUGAAUGCUUGGUGUCUGGGGUUAUAUAGCCCCCGGGUGCCGUCGCUAACGCUUUAAGCAUUCCGCCUGGGGAGUACGGUCGCAAGACUG
rnacentral:rRNA from 1 species